UUUAGCUGGUUUCUAGUGGCGGACGGGUGAGUAACGCGUGGGUAACCUGCCUUAUACAGGGGGAUAACAACCAGAAAUGGUUGCUAAUACCGCAUAAGCGCACAGGACCGCAUGGUCCGGUGUGAAAAACUCCGGUGGUAUAAGAUGGACCCGCGUUGGAUUAGCUAGUUGGCGGGGUAACGGCCUACCAAGGCGACGAUCCAUAGCCGGCCUGAGAGGGUGAACGGCCACAUUGGGACUGAGACACGGCCCAGACUCCUACGGGAGGCAGCAUG
rnacentral:rRNA from 1 species